rnacentral:rRNA from 1 species
UACGGGGGGGGCAAGCGUUGUUCGGAAUUAUUGGGCGUAAAGGGCGCGUAGGCGGCCUGACAAGUGGAAGGUGAAAUCCCUCGGCUUAACCGAGGAACUGCCCUCCAAACUGUCUGGCUUGAGACCGGGAGAGGUGAGUGGAAUUCCCAGUGUAGCGGUGAAAUGCGUAGAUAUCGUAAGGAAGACCAGUGGCGAAGGCGGGUCUCUGGACAGUUCCUGACGCUGAGGCACGAAGGCCAGGGGAGCAAACGGG